rnacentral:rRNA from 1 species
GAUGAACGCUGGCGGCGUGCCUAAUACAUGCAAGUCGAACGGACAGGCCCUGCUCUUGCGUGGUGCUUGAGUGGCGAACGGGUGAGUAACACGUGAGUAUCCUGCCCUUGACUUUGUGAUAACUUCUGGAAACACGGGCUAUUACCGGAUAGGAGCUUCUGCUGCAUGUUGGGGGUAGGAAAGAUUCGGCGGUUGGGGAUCGUCUCGCUGCUUAUCCGCUUGUUGGUCGGGUAGUGGCUUACCAAGGUUUUGACGGAUAGCCGGCCUGAGAGGGCGACCGGCGUCAUUGGGACUGAGGUACGGCGCAGACUGCAACGGGAGGCAGCAGUGGGGAAUAUUGCACAAUGGGCGGAAGCCUGAUGCAGCAGCGCCGCGUGCGGGAUGACGGCCUUCGGGUUAUAAACCGAUUUCGACGGUAACGAAGCGUGAGUGACGGUAAUGGGUAAAGAAGCAACGGCUAACUACGUG